UAAAAAUCACACGAACCAAUCGAACAAAAACCAUUAACCUCAAUUUAAUUCGAUUAGAGUACACGUUUAAGUUGCUGCAAUUAAGUAACAUAUACCAACCCAAUUACCCUACACACCGACACACAUAGACAUUUUAAAUGCAAUUAAGAGUUUUUCCGCUUCUUCUUUUGCUUAAAUUAAAAGAAACGAUAAACACGUGAAUGAAUACUUAACACACACAAAUGUGUAUAUUUGAAUGACUCUUCAAAUGGGUGACUAUUUGUAUGUGUUGAAGUGAGCGACGUGAGAAACUCAAAGGAUCCUGGCAUAACACAAGAAAUUUGAUUGUCGUAUAGAUUCCUGAAAGUAGUGCAUAAUAUAUUCAUCAAUAUGGACGUAAUUGGACUAAUUGGGUCCUGUAUGUGCGAGGCACCCUCAAAAGCGUUCGCUUCGAUACCAACAAUCUGAUUACGCCUUAUAUCCAAUUUAACUAAAUGUGGCAAACGACCAAAAAGGCCGUCCGAUGUUAUGCGUCCCAAUUCGUUAUCAUUCAAAAGCCUAAAAUGUACAAUACAUAGAAGGGAAACUACAUCAGUAAGGGGAUCGUUAAAAAUAAAAUGGUACUUCUUACAAUUCGGUAGUGUGCAGUGGUAUGUCGCGUGGAAUUUCCUUAAGGUUGCGCCCAGAGCAAUCCACCACGGUUCCGUCGCAUUGGCAUAAAGUUGGACAGUCAGUGUCCAAACGACAUUCUCCAGAAAGUUUCAUUCGCAGUUCGUCCCAGGAACCUACAUAUUGAAAGAAACAAACACAAAAGGCAUCCACACGUACUCAGAAUCAGAUAAUUAAGAAUAAAAAAAAAAUAGGUUUAACAGACAUUCUCUACACAUUUGGUGUAUCGCAUUGGAGAAAGAAAAAUAGUAUGGAGUAAACUUACACUUGAACUUCUCUUCUCGUAAAGUUUCAAUCCGUCGACGAUGCAUCCGCUUGGGCGAUUCACAUCGAGCACCACUCGUUUCAAUUGGGUUUUUGUGCAAGUAGUCGGCCAGCCAUCUAAGAUUACAAUCACAAAUAAAAGGAUUCUUUGCCAAAUGCCUGUGGAUGAAUAACGAGAUGUUUAUCAAGUUGAAUGGCAAGUGUGGUCUACGGCAAAUUCUUCGUUUGUCAAAGAAAUAUACAAAAAAAGAAUACCAAAUAUAUAUAUUUAUACAACAAAUUUGCUAAUAAUUGUAAAGCCUUUUGCUGGCAGUGUUUUUGCUGUUCUAUACAGCAGACUCAGAACCAACCAACAACUAAAAUGUUUAUAUCUUUCUAUACACAGUACGACAUUUGGAUUUUUUUGCCGCCCUGAUUUCCUUGCCAGCUGAAUCUUAUUGUGUGCUUAUAUUUGUCGUGUUUUAGUUUUGUUCAAUCCAAGGAUGGGUGCUAUCAGACGACAUUUAUUUGUCAUAUCAAAUGUCAAAUUUAGCAAUUCUGAAAAUGUUAAACAUAAAACUGUCUGAUAAAUAUGAAACAUUUAAUAUGUAAAACGGAUGAUAUAUUUAAUAAUAUUUAUUAAAUAUCUAAUUUUUUAUUACGAGGGCUGCUAUAUAAAUUUCCGGCCUUAUAAUGAAAAUUCGGGCGAUGCUGACAAUACCCACUCUAUAAACAAUUUUAUCACUAUUAUUUACCAAUUCUACCAUAUUUCGAGCAAAUGUGUUCAAAAUUGUAAUAACAUUAAUUUAUCAAAAAUGUCAACAGCCAAAAGAGAAUUAUAUAUGCUAAUGUCGUCACAAUUGAUUGAUAAAUUACCACAUAAUUGCAAAUUACCCAAAGUUUGACGAACAUGUAUAUGGGAGCUUUAUCUACGCCUGAAUCGACAAAUGACCAAAUUAUUGCAAAAUUAGUCCAAAUCGGACGAACAUAUGUAUUUGGGAACUAUAUCAAUAUCUGAACCGAUUUCGGCCAAACUCCUUAGAUAUUGUGGUAGUUGUAGAGGAAAGCUUUUGCAAAAUUUUGGGGAAUUGGUCAAUAAAUGCUCUUGCAAAGGAUCUAGAAGUGAAAAUCGGACGACACAUAUAUAUGGGAGCUAUAUUGAAAACUGAUCUGAUUUCUGUGAAAUUCGCCAGUAAUAUCGAAAAAUAGGAGAAGUCUUCGUGCAAAAUUUCGUGAGAAUAUGUAGAUAAAUGGAAGCUAUAUUCAAA